UGUUCCUACGGGGGGCAGCAGUGAGGAAUAUUGGUCAAUGGACGAGAGUCUGAACCAGCCAAGUAGCGUGAAGGAUGACUGCCCUAUGGGUUGUAAACUUCUUUUAUAUGGGAAUAAAACAGGGUAUGCAUACCCUCUUGUAUGUACCAUAUGAAUAAGGAUCGGCUAACUCCGUGCCAGCAGCCGCGGUAAUACGGAGGAUCAGAGCGUUAUCCGGAUUUAUUGGGUUUAAAGGGAGCGUGGAUGGAUUGUUAAGCCAGUUGUGAAAGUUUGCGGCUCAACGGUAAAAU
rnacentral:rRNA from 1 species